rnacentral:rRNA from 1 species
UACAGAGGGGGCAAGCGUUGUUCGGAAUUACUGGGCGUAAAGGGCGCGUAGGCGGCCUUCUAAGUCGAACGUGAAAUCCCCGGGCUCAACCCGGGAACUGCGUCCGAUACUGGAAGGCUUGAAUCCGGGAGAGGGAUGCGGAAUUCCAGGUGUAGCGGUGAAAUGCGUAGAUAUCAGGAGGAACACCGGUGGCGAAGGCGGUUCUCUGGGCAUUACCUGACGCUGAGGAGCGAAAGUAUGGGGAGCGAACAGG